GUUUGUUGAGAAUGCUGUUUUGUCUGCGCUUUGACCGCUAACUGUGUGUGUCUGUGUUGGUGUGUUUUACCGAUCCGGCAGAUCUACCACAGGUAUUAGAUGUAUGGUGACACAGCAUGUUAUGUUUAAGGGCCAGCAGACACAGAGCCACAGAGUGUUCACCCUCCAUGGAAACCAAACAACAGUCCGACAGACCGGCAGACUGAAACAGAGACCGGCAGACUGAAACAGAGACCGGAAGACUGAAACUGAGAUUGGCAGACUGAAACUGAGACUGGCAGACUGAAACAGAGACAGACUAGGCAUGCAGACUGAUAUUGACAUAUACCAGUAGGCAUGUUGCCAGACAGGCACAGAAACGGACAGACGUGAGAAUGGAAAAAAAUACACAAAACAGACAGGUAGAGACAGACAGGCCAUAUUAACAUACUUCAAUCAAUCAAUCAAAUGUAUUCAUAUAGCCCUUUUUACAACAGCACAAAGUGCUUUUACAGAGACACCCAGGCAGACAGAGACAGACAGACAGGCCAUAUUGACAUACUUACAAGUAGACAUACAAAGACAGUCCAUAUUGACAUUCUUACAGGCCAGCAGACAGAGACAGACAGACAGGCCAUAUUGACAUACUUACAGGCCGACAGACAGAAAGGCCAUAUUGACAUUCUUACAGGCCAACAGACAGACAGGCCAUAUUGACAUACUUACAGGCCGACAGACAGACAGGUAAAGACAGACAGGCAGGCAUGUAGACAGAUGGGUAGAGACAGACCAGUUGAGACAGACAGGCCAUAUUGACAUUCUUACAGGCCAACAGACAGACAGGCCAUAUUGACAUACUUACAGGCCGACAGACAGACAGGCCAUAUUGACAUUCUUACAGGCCAACAGACAGACAGGCCAUAUUGACAUACUUACAGGCCGACAGACAGACAGGUAAAGACAGACAAGCAGGCAUGUAGACAGAUGGGUAGAGACAGACAGGUUGAGACAGACAGGCCACAUUAACAUACUUACAGACAGACAGACAGACAGGCCAUAUUGACAUACUUACAGGCCGACAGACAGACAGGCCAUAUUGACAUACUUACAGGCCGACAGACAGACAGGCCAUAUUGACAUACUUACAGGCCGACAGACAGACAGGCCAUAUUGACAUACUUACAGGCCGACAAACAGAC
ensembl:lncRNA